GUGCUCGCUUCGGCAGCACAUAUAUUAAAGUUGGAACAAUACAGAGAAGAUUAGCAUGGCCCCUGUGCAAGGAUGACAAGCAAAUUCGUGCAGCGUUCCAUAUUUAA
ensembl:snRNA U6 U6 spliceosomal RNA